AGCGCGGUAUACGGAGGGUGCAAGCGUUACUCGGAAUCACUGGGCGUAAAGGAUGCGUAGGCGGAAGAUCAAGUUGAGAGUGAAAUCCUAUGGCUUAACCAUAGAACUGCUUUCAAAACUGGUUUUCUAGAAUGUGGGAGAGGCAGAUGGAAUUGGUGGUGUAGGGGUAAAAUCCGUAGAGAUCACCAGGAAUACCCAUUGCGAAGGCGAUCUGCUGGAACACAAUUGACGCUGAGGCAUGAAAGCGUGGGGAGCAAACAGGAUUAGAUACCCUGGUAGUCCACGCCCUAAACGAUGUACACUAGUUGUUGCCCUGCUAGUCAGGGCAGUAAUACAGUUAACACAUUAAGUGUACCGCCUGGGGAGUACGGUCGCAAGAUUAAAACUCAAAGGAAUAGACGGGACCCGCACAAGCGGUGGAGCAUGUGGUUUAAUUCGAAGAUACGCGAAGAACCUUACCCUGGACUUGAUAUCCCUUGGAAUCUCUCAGAGAUGAGAGAGUGCUAGUUCGCUAGAGCCAAGUGACAGGUGCUGCACGGCUGUCGUCAGCUCGUGUCGUGAGAUGUUGGGUUAAGUCCCGCAACGAGCGCAACCCUCGUCCUUAGUUGCUAACAGUUUGGCUGAGCACUCUAAGGAGACUGCCUUCGUAAGGAGGAGGAAGGUGAGGACGACGUCAAGUCAUCAUGGCCCUUAUGUCCAGGGCUACACACGUGCUAUAAUGGAGGGGACAAAGAGAAGCAAUACUGCGAGGUGGAGCAAAUCUUAAAACCCUUUCUCAGUUCGGAUUGGAGUCUGCAACUCGACUCCAUGAAGCUGGAAUCGCUAGUAAUCGUAAAUCAGCAAUGUUACGGUGAAUACGUUCCCGGGUCUUGUACUCACCGCCCGUCACACCAUGGGAGUUGAAUUCACCCGAAGCCGGAAUGCCAGACUGGCUACCGACCACGGUGGGUUCAGCGACUGGGGUGAAGUCGUAACAAGGUAGCCGU
rnacentral:rRNA from 1 species